UAAUGAAAUCCUCCUCGGCAAGGCUCUGAUGGGCGGGAUGAGGGAACGAGUUGAGUUAGCAACAAAAUUUGCUGUAAGUUUUGCAGAAGGAAAAAUGCAAGUGCGCGGAGAGCCAGCCUAUGUAAGGGCAGCAUGCGAGGCUAGCUUAAAGCGACUUGAUGUUGACUGCAUAGACUUGUACUACCAGCACCGGAUUGAUACACGCGUGCCCAUUGAAGUAACGGUUGGAGAACUUAAGAAGCUGGUUGAAGAGGGUAAAAUUAAA
rnacentral:misc_RNA from 1 species